AAAAAAGUUGCCAACUGUGAGUAAUAUCUUCCUUCGCAGCUGACUUUGUCAGUUAGGUGUCGGUACCGCCACUGGGCCGAUGCUAGGCCAGGCUUCACCACAUCACCCUGCGGGGUCGCCCAGCUGAGCCACUCCAGGUUCUGGAAGGAGCGUGCGGGCACCACACCCUCCCGCGCGCACUGACAGCCCGCGCGAGAGCCGGGCCGGGGCCUGGGCGUGCGGAGCCGCGGGGGACCAGACGCCCGGCCCCGGCCUGCUGCCCAGCCGCCGCCCCGCCCGCCCGCCCGCCCUCCGUGCCCCUGCGGCCCGCCCCCGGAGCAGACGACCGAGGCCUAAUCGCCGCCCGGGCUGCGGGGCCUAAAGAAGGAAGGAGCCCGCGCUGAGGAGGGGGCGGCUUCCGCGUCCCCGGAUCUCCGCUCACGUGCUCCUGGAAAGACGGUUUCUCUCUUACCCUCUGCAGAAUCCUCCUUAACAUGGUUUAAACACCACCGGCGCCGCCGCGGUGACUCUCCGAACCUUCCGCGGGGGCCUCUCACUACUCGGGGGUGCGCGGGCUGUAGGGACUGAGCCGGGAGAGGACUGGGAGGAGGACGGGGCGAGGCGGUGGCGGCGGCUGCUCGGGC